rnacentral:rRNA from 1 species
GACGAACGCUGGCGGCGUGCUUAACACAUGCAAGUCGAACGGAAAGGCCCUGCUUUUGUGGGGUGCUCGAGUGGCGAACGGGUGAGUAACACGUGAGUAACCUGCCCUUGACUUUGGGAUAACUUCAGGAAACUGGGGCUAAUACCGGAUAGGAGCUCCUGCUGCAUGGUGGGGGUUGGAAAGUUUCGGCGGUUGGGGAUGGACUCGCGGCUUAUCAGCUUGUUGGUGGGGUAGUGGCUUACCAAGGCUUUGACGGGUAGCCGGCCUGAGAGGGUGACCGGCCACAUGGGGACUGAGAUACGGCCCAGACUCCUACGGGAGGCAGCAGUGGGGAAUAUUGCACAAUGGGCGGAAGCCUGAUGCAGCAACGCCGCGCGCGGGAUGACGGCCUUCGGGUUGUAAACCGCUUUCGCCUGUGACGAAGCGUGAGUGACGGUAAUGGGUAAAGAAGCACCGGCUAACUACGUG